GACGAACGCUGGCGGCGUGCUUAACACAUGCAAGUCGAACGGAAAGGCCCUGCUUUUGUGGGGUGCUCGAGUGGCGAACGGGUGAGUAACACGUGAGUAACCUGCCCUUGACUUUGGUAUAACUUCAGGAAACUGGGGCUAAUACCGUAUAGGAGCUCCUGCUGCAUGGUGGGGGUUGGAAAGUUUCGGCGGUUGGGGAUGGACUCGCGGCUUAUCAGCUUGUUGGUGGGGUAGUGGCUUACCAAGGCUUUGACGGGUAGCCGGCCUGAGAGGGUGACCGGCCACAUUGGGACUGAGAUACGGCCCAGAGUCCUACGGGAGGCAGCAGUGGGGAAUAUUGCACAAUGGGCGGAAGCCUGAUGCAGCAACGCCGCGUGCGGGAUGACGGCCUUCGGGUUGUAAACCGCUUUCGCCUGUGACGAAGCGUGAGUGACGGUAAUGGGUAAAGAAGCACCGGCUAACUACGUG
rnacentral:rRNA from 1 species